rnacentral:lncRNA from 1 species
CCAGUGCCGCCUUCUGACAAUCCUGACGAGCCCUUGGAGCCAGCCGACGUCGUAGACGCCUCUUACCUUGAUGCUUGGUGGGUGGGGGUUGUGAUGAGGUUUGAGGAUGACAAGUAUACGGUGGGUUUCAAAUGCCCACCUGAUGUGCUUGAGUUAAGGCGCUCUGAGCUGCGGCCUCAUUGGGAUUUGCAGGACGGCAUAUGGGUUCGUGCCCGGAAGAAGGUAUUAGUUCUACAUUUUAAUAAUGCAUGUGGGUUUUCAUGAUUUAAGAACGUACAGUUUGUUUUUUGUACAUCGGCCUUGCCUUUGUUGUUCUGCUUUUAGAUUCUUUUUUUUUUUCCUUAAAAUAAUUUCUAUUUUUCCUAAAAAGAUAAUUUUUUUAUGUUGUUGCACUUUUUAAGAGCAGUUUAUCCGUGUUCUUGUUUUUUUUAGUACCGGUUGUCAUGAGUAUCAUUGGUUCUCUUGACUAUUCUAUUGAUUUUCCUGAAUUAUCAACCAAAGUUGUUAUUUUUAUUGCUUGUUGUCCUUGGUCCGAACCAGUACUUGAUAUCAGGUUUGUUUGUGCUUUCAAAUAUUUUUUCUGGGACUUCUCUGAUAUUGUGGUGUUUGUUAGGAACUUGUGAUUUUAUGGAGUUUUAAGUUUGGAUUUAUUGAGGUCUUUACUUAUAUGUUUGCAAGUUCAUGCCUUUUCAGUUCAUUCAUUUAUCUCAUUUCCAAGAUAUCUGGAUUCCUAUUUUUGAGGGGUGAUAGAAAUUUCUAUAUGCUGUGCUUCUAAUAGAAAGAAAACUGAUGUUUUUCACAAAUUGUUCAAAGAGGAUGACGGGAUCAAUUUUCAGCCCUGGGACAGCAGUGGAAGUGAAUCUCAACAAAGAACAUCUAUUCUGUGCGUGGUUCCCAGCAAUUUAUCUUGGGGAACUAGGGGUCAACUCUUUCUUGCUUCAAUAUAAGAGCUCUAACAACUGCGAUGUUAAAGUGGUCGUAGGUGGGAAACAGAUUCGGCCUCAGCCUCCAAAGUUGGCGGAAAGAGAUUUUAAGUUGGAGGAAAAGGUGGAUGCAUUCUUUGAUAUGUGUUGGUGUGCCGGAGAGAUUAAAAAAGUUCUUACAGGAAAAAAGUAUAUGGUCAGUUUGAAAUUCACAGAGGAGGUGAAGCAAUACAAUCAGUCAGAUUUGAGGCCUCACAUGUACUGGACGGAUGGAAGAUGGGUUACUUUGAUCAAUGGAAAACAGUUUACUAUGAUCAAUGAAAACUGGGUUCCUUACUUUAAGGUAUGUCUAUUUUUGUCUUGUUUUAUGAUGGGAAAAGGGCAGGGGGUUGUCUCGGCUUGUUACUUUAUGGGUAUGAUGGUAAACAUAUUUGGAUCAUAGGUAAGUUUGAGUUUCUAUUACUGAGAAUCAUACAUGGUCUCAAAUUAUUUGUGGGUGGCUAAAUUUUUGCCCUUUCUUUUCAGGAAGGUCACUUUAGUAGGGACCAUGAAGUACGAUCAAAGCUCACAUGUGAGAGUUUCAGUAGUUCUGAGUUAGCUACAGCACUUGAAAGUUCAGGUGCUACCAAGGAUAAUAAUGAAGAAAAAACACCUUGUUCGAGGAUUUCGUGGAAGAAUCAGUCGGAGGACUUGAGUCCUUGCAUUGAUAAUUCACCUUAUGGAAAGACCAAAAAGAAACUAAAAAUUAAUCAGAAACCUAACGAUGAUGCAACCAUUUUAGGUCUGUCCAAGAAGUUAAUAUAUGGACAUUCAGAAGAUUCCGUAUCUUUUGCACAAUUAUUUCGAAGGAGAACGCCAGUUAAAACAUCAAGCAAAGAAGCCCCAGUUAGAGAUGGUGCGGUAAGUGAACUCUCAAAAUGUGUUGUUGGUAUGUAUUCUCCUAUUGCUGAGUGUUCCUUUCGGGGUAAACAAAAUCAUAAGUCAAGUCUUCCCUCACAAAACCUCAUUAACCUGCCCUCAUUAUAUGAAUUUUAUAAGUUGAUAGCAUCUGAAGGGAUUUGAAUGUAACAAGUGAUAUAUACAAAAAAAAAAAAAAAAAAAAAAAGAUUCAUUAUUUUUUCUUCUGGUUUUGUUUCUUCUGACACCUGAUGGUCCUGAUUAGAAUGCAUUUAUUCCUAUUGCAGAAGACUAAGCAACAGCAGGCUGGAGGACUGGACAAUCAAACAAUAGUUUUUUAUAAACGAAAAGGUAAACCACAAAAUUUUGAAGUUGAUAUCCUUGGCCAAGAUUGAGACAUGAGGGGAGGGGCAGGCCACUGAAAUUGCCUGGUGAAAAAAUCAAUAGUCAGAGGCAUAUAUCCAAGCUGAGUAUCAUUACAUGAUAUUGUUUCUAUAUUAACAUGUAUAAUUAUUUGCAGUCAAGGAGGGCAGUGAAAUAAAAAAGGCAGAUGAAGAUGUUGAAGAUGAGUAUGGACGAGACAACAUUGAAUCUUUGGGUAUACUGUCAGAUUUUGAACUAACAGGGGGAUCUCUUGUUGACACAUCAUGUCUGCUGCCCAUGGAGGUAUAUCUAAAGCCCGUAUGCUAUGCUUCUUCUACAUCUCUCUAUUUAUCAAAACUGCAGUCUACAUUAAUCUUAUAUAUUAAAAAAAAGUUAGAAAUAUUGUUGCAAAAAACAAGAGAGCUUAAUUUUAUCUCGUAGGGUGGUGUAUGAGUGAAGGGAGGGACUAAAAUGGAAAAUGCUCGUAAUUCUACAAAUAUUUAAUAUUGACCUUACUAGAUGAUUUGUUUUUAUGAAGACAAUUAUUAAUAAAAAACUAUAAUAUUUCAUUUUAUAUUUAUCUAUAAUUAAUUCAAAAAAUGUAUUCGGCUUUACUUAAUCUCUGGAAUAAGUAUGGAUUUGGAGGCAUCCUAUUGAUAUUUAUUUCCCUCUAACACAAUUUCAUUGAUGAUGAUAUUUCUUAUUAAUUCAUGCAGGAGGUUGAGCAGAAUGAAGAUGGAGUGAGCAGUGAAAUAGAAGGGAAGGGAAAACUGCCUGAAUAUCUUAUUGAACACUCAAAGGAUCCAGCAACAGGUAUGUAUAAUGUGUCUCAAUAGAUGUGUAUAUUUACAAAAUCCAAUGUAUUCCAGCAUGUGUGGUUGAGGAACAUAAUGGCAUUGGAUCUUUUGCUGCAGAUGAUACGAAUGAUAUAUUUGAAUUGCCUGUAAUAACAAUGUGGGAUUUGACAUGCAUGAGUAGCUAACAACCUGAAUUAAGCACAAUGGAAUAGAAGACUUGUGGCCUGAAUAAGUUCUGUUUUUUUGCAGGUGAGAAGCAAAAUGGAACUGGAGUUGUUGGUCUAGUUGAAUUGACUAAGACACAAGUUGCCAAUGAUAAUGGUACGGUACAUCACAGCCUGGAAAAACCUUUAGUUUAUGUAAAAAAAUUACAGGAACUCGUGUGCAAUUUAAUUUGUAUGCUCCCCAUGACUGAUAUGCUUUUGCUUUAGUAUUCUAUAAUUUUUUGCUGUGAAAAAGAUACGGGUCAAGUACAACAUUUGGAUGAGUGAUUAGGAAAAAUGAAAUUGGAAGAGUCAAUAAAUACAGGGAGUGAAACAUAAUUAAGAAACAUUGAUUUCACAAUUCAAGAAAUAUACUGACUUUUGGUAAUACUGAGUGUGCUUUCUGCAACUGAAUCACGUGUGAAGCUACAUUUAAAUCCCUUAAUAUUGUUGUAAUGUCUACAAGACAGUCCACUUUGCCUUUUCUGAAAAGUUCUCCAGUUGGGAAAAAAAUUGAAACCAUGGAUGUAUUCAAAAUGUUGCUAGACCAAUAACAAUGCUAGCUUAACAUAAUAGGGAUAUGCUUUUCCUUUAUUGUUUUUCCCCCUUGGGAAGUACUUGCUUAUCCUAUUCAUUUUUAUCUUGUGUUGUCUAAAAUUCCAUGUCUUUCAUAAAUUUGCAGGUUCUGAAGAAGCCAAGAGAGAGACAAAAAUUGUGGAUUCUGCAAUGGAUUACUUGACAACGGCAUCUGCCCAUGAUCAACCUUUAUCACUGUGCAUCGAUGAAAUGCAUUCUGUAAAAGCCAUAGAGUGCUCAAGUAAGCUAUUGUGAAAAUUUUCAAUGGAUUCCUUUGGGUGUCAUUAGUUUGACUAAUAUCAAGAUUGUGUUCUCCAGGUAACACUACUAGGACUGCCAACCAACAAAAUGAGGUUAGAGGAACACAAGUUGUGCAACAAUACAGUCCACAUUCGCCUUUUGUGAGAAGUUCUCCAUUUUGGGAAAGUAUUGAAUCCAUGGAAGUAUUCAAAAGAUUUCCGCAAAAGCCACAUUUUCAUCCUCUGGUGAAGUCUAAAGCAGUUUGUCGUGAAGGAUCCGCCCUUGGAAAUAUGAUAACCUUUGCCUCUUUGGUGGAGACGACUUCCAAGCUGCAAGUUGGCGAUCCUAGAGACAUAUUUGAUAGCAAUUUGGAGGCACUUGUUGACUUGGAAAUGUUGGGAUUUGAUGUAACGGCAGUACGGCAUCGUCUGAAGGAGUUGGUUGAAAUGAAAGUUAAGUUGGGGCAGCUUCAUAACCAAUUAAAAGAAGUUGACAUUCAGAUCAGAGAGUGUACUCUGGACAGAACCAGAAACAAUGAAACCAUCAGUCGGAUUGAUAAGAAGAUUAAGGACUUGAAGGAAAAAGGGGCAACGCUGAUGUCAAUCAAUGCGGCCAAAGGUUCUGAAAUUAGCAAGCUGCAAUCAGAGGCAAAUGCUAUCACUGAAGGCAUUCAGAGCAUCCAUUGUGAUUUUGAGAAAUUAGCUGCUGCAGCAUGGUGAUUGUUGUGAUUCUGAUGGAUGACACCCUUUAGAUUACCACCCCUUUUGCUAACCUUCGACACUGUUAUAUAAUAUACAUAUAUAUACCCUUUUGAAUGUAAUGAUAUAAUAUUUACACCCUUUAGAUUAACUUUUCUGUAGCUUUUUUUUUUAUUAUAACAGCCAUUAGCCCUAGAAUGCUGGUAACAAACAAUUCUCAGUAUGUACUACUAUAUCCUCGAGUCAUUCUAUAGUGAGCGUCUUAUUUAUGGUUCUUAGGUUCUAUUUUUUAACCAUUAGAUCAAAUAGGUUAGUUGGUGAAUCAAAUUGGUAAGGCUCUCCCUAUAGAAUUAUUGUUAUAUCCUCAAUCUUGAAAUUCUAUAGUGAAAGUGUGGUAUAUGAAUUUAUCAGCCAGUAUUAUUCAAAAAAAAUUUGUUUGGUAUGAAGGUGGGCCUAAGCCCAACAAACAUCCAAUCCAAUCCAUCAACUCUCAGUGGGUCGACUAAAAGCCUGUCGUUUCCAACAAAACUUGAUCUACGCGACAAAUUGUUCAACUUGACCUUGACUAAAUAAUACUACUCUUUUUAUCGACCUUGACUAGAUAUUACUAUUUUUAUUGCAAAUGGUUAUGAGGUCUGUGAAAGGUCUGUGAAAUUAUCACCUUUCCUGCUUUGGCGUUCAUCAAUUUGUUACUUAAAGAGGUUUUUUUUCAUCUGUUUUUCUUUGGAGAACUAAAAAGUGAGAGAACACAAGUAAGAAAAUGGUUGUAAAGCGGAGCCAAGCGCAUUUGAGCAAGGAUUCAAAGGUAGAAGUUUGCAGCAACGAAGACGGGUACAAAGGUGCAUGGUUCCCAGCCAUAAUCCUUGACCCACAACCCUCAGAUCGCUCACCAAAGAAGAAAAGGAGGAGCCUUGGCAACUCAAGCAAGGCUCUGGUUCAGUACGAGAGUCUGGUCUCUGACGAUGACCCAAACAAGCCACUCACUGAGCUUGUUGACGUGCGCUCCAUCCGGCCAGUGCCGCCUCCUGACAAUCCUGACGAGCCCUUGGAGCCAGCCGACGUCGUAGACGCCUCUUACCGUGAUGCUUGGUGGGUCGGGGUUGUGAUGAGGUUUGAGGAUGACAAGUAUACGGUGGGUUUCAAAAACCCACCUGAUCUGCUUGAGUUAAGGCGCUCUGAGCUGCGGCCUCAUUGGGAUUUGCAGGAAGGCAUAUGGGUUGGUGCCCAG